UACGUAGGGUGCGAGCGUUGUCCGGAAUUACUGGGCGUAAAGAGCUCGUAGGCGGUUCGUCACGUCGGCUGUGAAAUCCCGAGGCUCAACCUCGGGUCUGCAGUCGAUACGGGCGGACUGGAGUACUGCAGGGGAGACUGGAAUUCCUGGUGUAGCGGUGAAAUGCGCAGAUAUCAGGAGGAACACCGGUGGCGAAGGCGGGUCUCUGGGCAGUAACUGACGCUGAGGAGCGAAAGCGUGGGGAGCGAACAGG
rnacentral:rRNA from 1 species